GCUGGGCAUGGUGGCUCACGCCUGUAAUCCCAGCUACCUUGGGAGGCUGAGGUAGGUGGGUCAUUUGAGGUCAGGAGUUUGAGACAAGCCUGGCCAACAUAGUGAAAACCUGCUUCUA
ensembl:misc_RNA Metazoa_SRP Metazoan signal recognition particle RNA